UGAUUCGAUUCGUUUUCUCAUUCUGAUUCUUCUUCUUUUUUUUUCUACAUCCUCAUCCAUCUUCUGAUUCGAUUCCUCUUCAAGCAAAAAGGGAAGAGCGGGAGAAGAAGGUCCGGACCUUAAUGUCAAUGCGAUGAUCUAUUAAACCUUAACUUAGUUAUCCAGGGAUACGAAUAAGUUAAAGGUUUGAUUUUUAUCUGAUGUCGCAUAGUUUUGGCUAGAUUUGGUUUCGUAUCAAAUUUGAAGAUUUCUCUUAAAGAUAGCCGGUUAAGCUAUUAGAGUUAUCAAACUGACAAGGAAUUAGACUAAGUUUAAGUUUUUAUUUUCAUUUGAGGUCAGAUACGUUUGGCUAGAUUACUCUGGUUUGGUUUAAAUCACUGUGAAAUUUGAAGCUUUCUGAUGAAAUUAGCCGUGAUUCUUUCUACAACUACAGAGAGUUCAGGUUAAAGUUUCAAACUUUUUAGUAUCUGAAGACGUUUUGGAGGAGCAUUAGCUUUUAAAUAGUUACCUAGAUAUGAUAUGUUAGUACCUUUAAAUCUAAGUUUAGGUUUGGUUCUCGUCUGAGCUCAAUGUGUUUCUUGCGAGAUGAGUUUGAUCUCACAGGUCUAAUUACUGUGCCAUAUUUGAAGUUGCUGAUGAAGCUUUCCAAUGUUUGAUUUUUAUCGGAGUGUCAAGUAUAUUUGGUUAGAUGACUCUGAGUUGUUUAAUCACUGUGUGUAAUUUGAAGCUUUAUCUUGAAAUUAGCCGUAGAAGUCGUUUAAGCUGAUGAAGUUAUCCAGGGAUAUGACUAAGUUUAGGGUUUGAUGUUCAUCUGAUGUCGCAUAGUUUUGGCUAGAUUUGGUUUAAGUUAGCCGGUUAAGCUAAUAAAGUUAUCCACUCACAAGGAGUAAGACUAAGUUUAGGUUUUUGUCUACUCAGGUUUUAUGAUAUGUGAUCUUGUAUACCUGUUAUCUACUAGCAUUCGGAGAUCACAACAUAAUCUGCGGCAUUUCUUGGAAUUAUGGUCUUGAUCAACUAUGUUCCUUCUGCCUCUCUUUGAUUAGAAAACUCUGUGCCUUUAAAUCAGUCAAAUGGUUAAAAAAAAAAAAAAACAAAGCUUGAAACUUGAUGCAUGCUAUAGAACUAACGAGAAGGUGAGGCUGGAUUUUUAGUGAAUCUCAUUGAUCUUUUCUGAAUAUCGAUAAGACUUCAUAUAUAUGCAACUUUAGUCAAAUUUGUUAUCAACUAAGUUUCAGGAUUUUUACAUGGCUGGCUUUAGAUACUAGAUUCUUUAGGUGGAAAGCUAACAACUUUAACUCCAUUUUGGCAAAGUAUUGAUCAUCAUUCGCAUUUGUUUCUACACUUGAUUUUUACCUUUCUCUAAUUUUGUGACAUGGUGUGUAGCUUGACUGAUCGGAGCUCAAUCUUUCUCGAUUUAUAAUUGUGAUGAUUGCGAUGAUUGCGUUUAAGUUGUUAGCUUUCCACGUAAAGAAUAUGGAGGAUACGCUGUGCAGCCAGAUAAAUUGCCAAAUUACGUAGUCCCUCAUCUCACUUCGUAAAUAGCCGAUAGUAUGUUGCUUACUUCGUAACUGAACAGGAAAACAAUCUUUGAGAAAUCUUCUUUCAAGUCGUAUUGGUCGAAGCUCCUUAGGGGGGUUUGUGAUCCUGAUUAAUAUAUUGGUUCGUUGUAAGUUUUUGUGUUAGGAACCUGAAAUGGGAAUGCAUACUUUAAUUACGUUAUGCUUGUUAUGUGAUUUAGCUGCUCUACUGAUGAAUGAAUAUAUAUAUAUUGGAUUUAACAGCUGAAACCAUAUGUAUCUCAGUGUCCUAUACAAGUGAACACAAACGAGUCAACCAAGCUUCCAAGUAACCAUCAGGAGAUAGAGAUCAAGGGGAGUGGGAACCUGCAGCAGACAUAAUGGAAGGGAACGAAUCAUCCGAAGACGAGACAUAAUAGCAGUAUGAAGAGUCACUUUUACCAUUUCCCUUUCAUCUGUUUUGUUUCUUUGAUGAUAAUAUGAGUGUGAAGCUUGCUAGUUGCAAAUAGUGUUACUUUUAGUAGAUUAUAAAUGUAUACAGUACGUUGAUUAUUAAUUUUCAGCACAGAGAAUCACUGAAA